GCCUGAGUGGCUCAGUCAGUUGAGCAUCUGACUUUGGCUCAGGUCAUGAUCUCACGGAUCAGGGGUUCAAGCCCCAUGUUGGGCU
rfam:Felis catus isolate Cinnamon breed Abyssinian chromosome E3, whole genome shotgun sequence.